AGCCGAAAGGCUGAACCAGCAACUUGGAAGAAUGAAUAACGAAUAAGUCGUAUAAAAUUCUAAAUAAAAAGUGAUAGUGACAAUUUUUAUUUAUAAGUCUUGACCAAAUUACGUGCCAGCAGUCGCGGUAACACGCAGAAGACUAGUGUUAUUCAUCUUUAUUAGGUAUAAAGGGUACCUAGACGGAUUAUCAAGCCAAAUGAAGGGACUAAUUUUCUAGAGUUUUAUGGAAGAAUAUCGAAUUGCUGGAGGAAAGUCAACAUUUUUUGAUACCAGUGAGACGGACAACUGCGAAGGCGUUAUUCUAUGUAAACAACUGACGUUGAGGGACGAAGCCUGGGGGAGCGAUAAGGAUUAGAUACCCUAGUAGUCCCAGGAGAAAAUAAUGAGUGUUAUAGACUAGAUUUGAAACAGUGAAUUUAAGCUAGCUUGAUUAAAUUUAAUUUAGCUUACCUUGGUAUGUGUUAAGCUUUAUCAAUAGCACUAAGGUUUAAGGCCAUGAGUGCGUAUGUAAGCAUUAUUAUUAAGUAUAAUGUUUAACGGCACUUGACUGUUUAUAUAAAUAUGACAGCUCUCCCAAAGGGGAGAAUUCACUACUAAUAUUAGUUUAUAAAUGAAAGUGCAAGCAUUCCACCUCAUGAGUAAAGCGGCAACGCCGGAAUUGAAAUCAUUAGACCGUGUCUGAAACCAGUAGUGAAGUAUGUUAUUUAAUUCGAUAACCCGCGAAUAACCUUACCACGUUUUGAAUAUUUUUACAAGCGCUGCACGGCUGUCUUCAGUUAAUGUCGUGAGAUUUUGGUUAGUUCCAUUAAUUAACGAAAGCCCUUAUUUUUUUUAUAUCAAAAAAAUAUUUUCGCCGUUACAUUGGUUAGAAUAAUAGGACCAAGACAAGUCAUCAUGGCCUUAAUAACG
rnacentral:rRNA from 1 species